UACGGAGGGUGCAAGCGUUAUCCGGAUUCACUGGGUUUAAAGGGUGCGUAGGAGGGUUGGUAAGUCAGUGGUGAAAUCUCCGAGCUUAACUUGGAAACUGCCGUUGAUACUAUCAAUCUUGAAUAUCGUGGAGGUGAGCGGAAUAUGUCAUGUAGCGGUGAAAUGCUUAGAUAAGACAUAGAACACCAAUUGCGAAGGCAGCUCGCUACACGAAUAUUGACUCUGAGGCACGAAAGCGUGGGGAUCAAACAGG
rnacentral:rRNA from 1 species